rnacentral:lncRNA from 1 species
CACCGCCAAAUCCCGGAAGCCGCCCCUGCUCUCCGGCUACUCCCGAUUGGAGGAUUUCCACUCCGACGCCACUGAUUGGGUAAAGCUCCAGGCCCCGCCCUCUCACUCGUUCUGCUUUUUGAAUGGGAGACAGGCUCAUUGAGGUGGGGCCACCUGCUGAGGGUAUUACAGCUAAUUUAAGGGGUGAGCUUGGACUUGAAAUGCACUUGCUUUCCCGUACCUGGUUUUGCUUGUAUAAGGCAUCUUAUUAGCUAAUUAAGUUUAAGAAGGAGGGCAUUUGGGCACCUUUAAAACAACUUUUUAACCGUUCUAAUAACACAGGAAAGACCCUCAUCCCAUCCUUAGCACCUCUCAUCACACGGUACCCCACUGCUCAGGACAUAACUGUGGGACUGCAGAGGAAACUGCUGGGGUUUUUGGGGAGCAUGCAGGAGGCUUCAACAGCCAAGGUAACGGUGGCUUCCCUUGGGUGUCACUUAAAAUCUUGGGGUCAGGGACAUCUUUUAUCCAGUUGGCUCAGGGAAACUAACAGACAGGAGGAUUGUAAUUUUUUUUUUCUUUUCUGAAUUUCCAAGACAUAAAGGACUAUCCAAGCAUCCCAAAAGGCAUUCAAUUAUACAUAAGGCUGAGGGCCUCCCUGCUCUGGAGAGGGAUGGCCUGGCAGCCACCAGCUGCAGUGAGCUGAGAUAGUGCCACUGCAAUGGGCCUUAAACUUGCCCUCUUGUAGACAGGCCACCUCCACACACCCGCUUCUCACAUCGCAGGCUCUAACCCUCCGGUCCAUCAAGGUGGGCUGCCUUCUUCCCAUGUCAUUAGCUCUCCACAAGCAUCUAGUUAGCUCUAAAACCUACCACAGGAUAGCAAACGUCAGACCCUCCUCCACUCUCCCGGCACUGCACGCCUUCUGGGGAGUGCUGCCAAUCCCACCUCAACUGAAGGGACAAAUCUGGGCAGGUGCCCAGUCAGAUGUUCAGUGACCUAACAGGUCCAGCAUGCCCAGGGCCUGACCCCACAGCCUAGCACCCCUCCCCCACCUGGCCUUCAAUCCAGCCUUUCUUCUCCAAUGACGGGAUGUUCACCUGUGCCACAAUCCCAUUAGUCUAGUGACGAGGCCAGGUAAAUCCCAGCUGAGUGCCUGUGACUCCACCCUCUUACUUCCCACUCAGGUGACAUUACAAGCAUAACCUUGAAUUUGAGCUAAUUUAUACAUAUUCCUCUCCUAGUAACCUGUUUGACAACAGCCCUCACAAUCCAGAGACUGGGGCAGCAGGUUCCAAAACCUCACUUUAUUCCAAUGUGAAAUGAAGACAUGAUGGUUUAAAAAUGAGAAAAAGUUCCUGAUAAGCUGUGGGGGUGCUUCACUUGCCAGCUCAUGCCCAUUCCCUCUGAAACAAGGUGUCUGUUACCCAUAAACAACUCUCUGUAAAGCCCCAGGUAGAGGUCACAGCUGGACGUGGCUCCCUCAGGCUCACAGGGUAGCAAUCUCCUCCCCCAGUCCAGGCUUCCACAGCAGGCACUUGAGGAUCUCGGAGCUUUCCUUCUCGUGGUUCUCACCAAAAAACAGGGGAGAGAGCACAGGCAGGAAAGGAUUAGCUGCCCACAGCCUACAGGCGCAGCUCAACCCACCGGCCCUGCCACAGCCCACCUGGGCCUUAUAGAUGUUGUCAAAUUCCUUCUUCUGCUACAAGCCGGACCAGAACUC